rnacentral:rRNA from 1 species
UGGGGAAUAUUGGACAAUGGGCGAAAGCCUGAUCCAGCCAUGCCGCGUGUGUGAAGAAGGUCUUCGGAUUGUAAAGCACUUUAAGUUGGGAGGAAGGGCAGUAAGCGAAUACCUUGCUGUUUUGACGUUACCGACAGAAUAAGCACCGGCUAACUCUGUGCCAGCAGCCGCGGUAAUACAGAGGGUGCAAGCGUUAAUCGGAAUUACUGGGCGUAAAGCGCGCGUAGGUGGUUCGUUAAGUUGAAUGUGAAAGCCCCGGGCUCAACCUGGGAACUGCAUCCAAAACUGGCGAGCUAGGGUAGGGCAGAGGGUGGUGGAAUUUCCUGUGUAGCGGGGAAAUGCGUAGAUAUAGGAAGGAACACCAGUGGCGAAGGCGACCACCUGGGCUCAUACUGACACUGAGGUGCGAAAGCGUGGGGAGCAAACAGG